CUUGUUUUUCUGUUUUAUACACUCUUGACAUAUUAAUUGUAUUUUAUUUUAUAUACUUUCUUAACAUUUAUAUAAUUACUGUACUAGAUCUGAAUCAAUAAGACAAUAAGUAAUAUUUUUACAGGCAAAGAUACAAUCAAAUGUAGAUGUAUUACUUCUUCAUAUACAAAUAACCACUGGGUUAAACCCCAAUGGCCAGGAGUGUUUCACCAAACCUGCUAUGCAGGACCCCGGGGGAGUUUACUCCAAGGUCUCGAGUUCGAGUCUGUUCCCCUCAAUUAAGGAGGUGGUAUGCUGAGAAAGGAUAUUUAAGAUCCGCUUAGUGUGGGACCCUUUCGUUGUGCGAUUAACACACAUCAUUCGUGUCUGAGAGUAUUGCAUCAAGUAAUCUUUAACAUACGAAGUUAUUUUGCCAGAUCCAUCCUGAUCCAACUUCAAAAACUUCAAACUCCGGAAUGGUGAACAUCGCAUCAUCGAUUCUGCUGGAAACGAGGACAAAAACCAAACAAAUGACUCGGAAAUCGUAAGAGAUUUGGCGUUAUGAAAAGUCUGAAACAUUGAUAUUAUAUUUUGAAUACUUAGCUUCACGGGUCCAAAAAAAAAUCCUUGAUAAUCAAAGACAACCUCGUCAAGAACAGGAAGAGCUUGAGGCGUUACGAACACUGGGAAAGUACUAAUAGUCCGAAACUUGAAGAUUCUGAGUUUUGGAGUCGAAAGCUCACAACGAUUAAGCCUACAAGUACGACCAUAGAAGCACUUGAUGGUUAAUGCCGAAAGUUGUGAAGUAAGGACGUUCAAAUUAUUUUCUUUAUAACAACAAUGGUACAAAGUUAACUUCUCCAAUGCCGGGAACCCUGAGAAUGAAUCAGGAUCGGUAAUAAUUGCCUCUCGUAAAUAUAGAUUAGUCAGAUUCUUGAACAGCCCAGCCGAUUUUUGUCCCAAAAACCGACAUAUGAUUUUUGUAAUGCUUAUUAGUUUCAAUCGUGUUAAAGAAUCCGAGCUAGUAUUAUGCAAGCAAUCUGACCAAGAUCCGUUUUCCUCACCCCUGAUCGAUGCUUUCACUUCUUUGACACCAUGCGAAAAUGCAUAACCAAAUACUGUUUUCCAAA